rnacentral:tRNA from 1 species
GGGAGGGUGGUCUAGCCUGGUAUGAUGCGAGUAAGAAAACCAAGGGGCCGGGGGUUCGAAUCCCCCCUCUCCCA